rnacentral:rRNA from 1 species
UCAAAAACAUAGUAUUGUGGGAAACUUUUAGAAUAAAUUCUGCUCAAUGAGUAAAUUAAAUAGCUGCAGUAAAUUAACUGUACUAAGGUAGCAUAAUAAGUUGCUUUAUAAUUAAAAGCUUGAAUGAAAGAAAUAAUGUGAAACAAGCUUUUUAAACUAAAGUAGUAAAAAUUAAUAUUUAAGUGAAAAAUCUUAAAUAAAAUCAAAAGACAAGAAGACCCUUUAGAACUUUACAAAUUAACUUAAUUUCAUUUGGUUAAUUUGUUAGAUUGGGGAGAUUUUUAAAUAAAUAAAUCUUUAGAUAUAAAAAAAUGAUUUAAAUCAAAUUAAAUUAUCCAAAUAUGAAAUAAAACAAGUUACCUAAGGGAUAACAGCGCAAAAUUUUUGAGAAGUUCUCAUUUACAAAAUAAAUUGCGACCUCGAUGUUGGAUUAAGAACAACUUAUAAAGCAAAAAUUUAUAAGAGUUGGUCUGUUCGCCCAAAUAAA